rnacentral:rRNA from 1 species
CCUACGGGAGGCAGCAGUGAGGAAUAUUGGUCAAUGGACGGAAGUCUGAACCAGCCAUGCCGCGUGCAGGAUGACGGCCCUAUGAGUUGUAAACUGCUUUUGUACAAGGGUAAAACUGAACACGUGUAUUUAGUUGCAAGUACUGUAUGAAUAAGGAUCGGCUAACUCCGUGCCAGCAGCCGCGGUAAUACGGAGGAUCCAAGCGUUAUCCGGAUUUAUUGGGUUUAAAGGGAGCGUAGGCGGAUUGUUAAGUUAGAGGUGAAAUGUCCGGGCUUAACUCGGGAACUGCAUUUGAUACUGUCUAUCUAGAGAGUAGGUGCGGUAGGCGGAAUGUAUGGUGUAGCGGUGAAAUGCUUAGAUAUCACACAGAACACCGAUUGCGAAGGCAGCUUACCAAUCUAUAUCUGACGUUGAGGCACGAAAGCGUGGGGAGCAAACAGGAUUAGAUACCCUUGUAGUC